rnacentral:lncRNA from 1 species
AAGAGAGUGCAGACCAUGCCAGCUAAAACUUAUUAUUAUUUUAUUAUUAUUUUCAUAUGCCCACUUGUCACAUGGUUGGGCCUCUCUUCUCUUCUCCCUCUAUCAAACCGAUCCUCUCCUUGUCAUCGCUGCUAUCUUACCCGUCGUCUCCACUGCCUCGUCGUCAUCACCGCUCGAGAAGAAGCCCGCGCUGCCGCUGCCAUUGUUGUGGCCGCAAGGAAGCCGGCCUCGUCAUCGCUGGGAAAGAGCGGCCUCGUCGUCAUCGCGAAGGAGCUGGCCUCGUCGUCGUCGCGAAGGAGCCGGCCUCAUCGUCGCCCCAAAUUGAAACUCAGUUGAAGAGAGCUGCUUGGAGAGGUAAACUGAAUGUGCACGAACCUUCAUUUGCAUGUUGAAAAGAGCUAAAUCUCUCUUCAUACGCUACGAUGUCAAACACAAGUUGUUUUGAAUAGAGCAGAUGCUUGGAGUACCUGUAAUUGAAGCCAAAAAAAAAAAUUUACAUGUGAGUUCCACUUAUAUCCAUCGUUCUAACAAUUCAAUUAUGUAUGGAAACUUACCAACUAAAGUUGAUUUGGUCAAGUAUUUAUCUGAAUGGGUAAUUUUCGGCUUCUUUGGUAGUACGAGAUUUUUAUCUCAGAUAAAGAGAAUCACUUCAUGGGAGUUCAAUUCGCAUUCAGAAACUGUAGUUGCUAUAACGAUUAGUAAUCCAGAUAUUGAACCAGCAGCCGCAAAAAGUGGAAGUAAUAUAGGACUCAUGUGCUUUGAUUUUUAGUUUGGGUUUCUUGUUAUUUCAUCACUAGAGAAAGAAAAGGAAAGAAUAAUAAAAAAAAAAGAUCUUGUCUUUGAGACUGGAUGAUAAUUUCAAAAAUGGGAUUGGAUCCAAAAAAUUUGUUCUUACAAUGAACUGAUUGUAGCCACCAAUAAUUUUUCAGAUAAUGAGAAGCUUAGUGAAGGAGGUUUUGAUGUUGUCUACAGAGGUUUCUUGAAGGAUCUCAUUGCUAUGUUGUUGUUAACGGAGUGUUAAGGGAGCCUAAACAAGGGAUCAAAGAGUAUAAGCAGCCAACCAUUAGUUUAAAGAGAACAUAAAGGGGAAAGUUGGAACCCUUGAAGGAGACGGUAGAUUAGAACAUUUUCCCCAAUAAAAAAAAAAAAAAAAUUAUAGGGUUAGAGUUUGGGAAAAGUAUUAAAAGUUAACUAUGAUUAACUUUUUCUUUUUUUUUUUUUUAAUUUGUAUGAUGUCAUGUGACUAUGCAAAAUAAUAAUAAAUUAAUUGACGUGGCACGCCACGUAAAUGGAAACUCACUCUUUCAAUUCUCAUUAAUUUGAAAUCAGGAUAAAAUUUUAAUAAAUUUUUUAAAAUUAAUUUAUUGUGUCAAAAUUAAAAAGUGAAGAUUAAAUUAUAAAAUAAUAUAAACCUAAAUUUUUUAGCGUUAAUAGCCCUUAAUUAAUUAUUAAACUCAUUUUUAUAAUAGACUAACCUUAUAAUGAAC